rnacentral:rRNA from 1 species
GACGAACGCUGGCGGCGUGCUUAACACAUGCAAGUCGAACGGAAAGGCCCUGCUUUUGUGGGGUGCUCGAGUGGCGAACGGGUGAGUAACACGUGAGUAACCUGCCCUUGACUUUGGGAUAACUUCAGGAAACUGGGGCUAAUACCGGAUAGGAGCUCCUGCUGCAUGGUGGGGGUUGGAAAGUUUCGGCGGUUGGGGAUGGACUCGCGGCUUAUCAGCUUGUUGGUGGGGUAGUGGCUUACCAAGGCUUUGACGGGUAGCCGGCCUGAGAGGGUGACCGGGCAAAUUGGGAAUGGGAAUAGGCCCCAAACCCUAAGGGAGGGAGGAGGGGGGAAAAUUGGCACAUGGGCGGAAGGCUGAAGGAGGAACGCCGGGGGGGGGAAGAAGGCCUUUGGGGUGGAAACCGGUUUUGGCUGGGAAGAAGGGGGAGGGACGGUAAUGGGUAAAGAAGCAACGGCUUAACAAGUG